ensembl:lncRNA LINC02123 long intergenic non-protein coding RNA 2123
GUGGGGUGAGAGAGCUGCCCUAAGGAACUCCAGGCCCAAAAGAGAGAGCAAGUGGGAUUAGCUGCUUAUUGUGUAAACUUAGAAAGGGAAAACAGAAUUAAAGCUUCACUGAGAAGAUGAACCUGCCGAUGAGGUGUGCAGAGAACUUUGGCUGCACAAGUUAAGAGGAAGAGGCUGAGUCUCAGCUCAGAGAGUGCUGGUAAUGCCAAGCACAGCAGAGCUGCCAGAGGGAUCUACUUGGAAUCUGGGGAGGCCCUGGGGAGACUAACUGGUACAAUUUAAAGAGAUGCAAAGCAAAUGAUAUGCGGGGCAAUCAUGUGAAAAGCCUGCUGCCUUACAGGAUGGACUCCAGCUGCUCAGUGGGACGGGCUGUUGGGGGCUGGGUUUUGGUAGGGCAAGAGGGCCCCGGAUGGAGUGAUGGACACUCUAACUCACUACUCCGCCGUCCAAUACAGUCCAGAUUGUUCAACAACUCUGAGAAUAAAUGGUCUUUUUUAAAAAAUUGGUGUCAAACCUACUGUACUGGGUUGAUGUGAAAUUGAAAUUGAAAUAAGUUGUAUAUAAAAUGUCUGGCACAUAGUAGUGAUCAAUAAAUAUUAAUCCCUUCCCCAGACCAAUGCUGUAUUUCCAUUUCUGGGGCACAUGCCACAUUGUCUAAAUCAAUGUUUUAUUCACUCAUACAUCAAAGAUAAUGGAAACACUUAUAUUUUAGAAAGAACUUACUGUACAUUUUAUAUUCUUUUUGGUAAAUUGAAUAAACACUCUUCAGAGAUAUAUAAACCUAGAUUUCCUGAUAGACUUUGCAUUAGAACAUUGGUGGAAGAGAAUGCACCAGAAAAUCUCCUCUUUAGGUGCCCACUUCUGAGCUUUAGUCCUCCAACCCCA